GUCUUUUCUCAUUCUAUUCUUCUGUAGUCGUUUCUAUGUACUUAUUUUUUUGAUCAUAAUUCUUUCAAGAUUGCACCAUUUUGCCAGUUAUUCCUUGUGCGUGAAUAUUGAAUAUAUGAUUCGCGAUUUAUUAUUUUUAAUCGUUUCUUGUCGGGACUCCAACUCGCCACGUGGUUUAAUUCAACGCGUGGAUAGAACAAAUCUUUCUGAAAUAUAACGGAAAACCAAUGAAUGCUGUGACAAUUUUAAUCAAAACUUGUACGAUUUUAAUUUUUAAAUUCAUUGGUUUAAAGUUAUCUAUUAAGGGAAGCAGGAUAAAUUUGUGUUUAAAGGUUAAGUUUUAUAGAAAUAAAUGAAUAGUUUUUGUUUAAAUGUUAUGUAUUCCCUUAUUUAAGACGCAAAAAAGUAAAUUGUGAUACAAAAUUUAUUUAAAAUACUUUGUUUUUUGUUAUUCAAGAUAAAUCUGAAAUUUUCAAGUUUUGCUAUUUUUAUAACUUUUGAGGGAGCAAUUCUUUAUUUUCUAGUCUAGUUUUUCUUAGAACACUGUUCUACAGAUUGAACGUAAAUAGAAUUAAACCCAAAAAACUACUACGAAAUGUUAACAACAUAAACAUAAAUUUCGUCAUUUUUUAGAGCUUGAUGUUAUCUCGAAAAAAUCGGAGAAUCACAUCCAUUUAUUUUUUUCUCUAAAAUAAAUUAGCCUCUAAUUUAACUGUACAGAUUUUCUGCUUUCCCUUAAUAAUUGUAUCAAUAUAUAGUAUCCUCUCAUUUUGGCAUGCCUCCAGUUUGUAUCUCGCUGGAGCAUGAAUGCUUGUGGGAGGUAAAACAAAGAGGGAACUUGCCUUCGGAAUCCACACGAUACUGUCUGGAGCCGUUUCUCUAAGUUUCCAACACUUAAUCCUCAUAAAAAUAUGCUGACAAAUACUUUUGUGGGUUUAAUACUGCUAAAUCUACAUUUAUCUUUUAUCUUUUUUACAGGACUGUGCAUUUUAAGGACAAACUCCAAACGAAGCAUUGUUUGCACGUGCAAUACUUUACACGUUUAUCUGUAGAAAACACUAAACAAUAAUAGAAUUUGAAACAAUGUCAUAUUUUUUUACUAGAUGCUUUUUUUACUAGACAUUAUUUUAUUAUUAGAAGUUAUACUUAAUUAUACUAAGAAAACCAUGUGUUCCAUAUUUGAAACAGAUCUCAUAUAUUUAUUACAUUUCGAAAUUACUUGAUAUUUUAAUACACAAAAAGAUCAGACAAUCUUAAAUACAAAUAUGAUAUUUGUAUGAAAAACGUAGCAAACAGAUUAUGCAAGUUGAAUAGAAUGUACUGUGGAAGAGCAAGUUGAUGCUAAUACUGAAUAAUUACAAAAAACAAUUGUGAAUAUUUGACAACACUUUCCAUAAUAUCUAUUGGAAAAUUAAUAGCAAAAUUUGCAUUCAUCGAUAGAGCAAUUAUUUUGUUCUCUUAAGUAGACCAGAAUAUGUAAAUAGGUGCUUUUGACAAGUAAUUAUUCGUUUUUCAUGAUUACACAAUCUAAAACGAUUUUAGGAAUAAAGCAUCAAAUUUUUUAAUGCAAUAUUUGCGCAAGGAUUUUACAAACGGAGAAAUUAUAAUAUACUAUGGAAAAUGUGAUGGCAAUGCUAGACUCCAAGGAAAAGCUCAACACUUGGCAAUUUCUAUAAUAUUGGCUAUAUAUUGAAAAACUGAUGGCAAAAUUUGAAUUCAUCAAUAGGAAGAGCAAUCGUGAUUUUAAUAUCUUAGAUCGGAAUAUGUAAAUAGGCGAUUGUGACAAGUAAUUAUUUGUUUUUCAUUCCCAGUAAACGGAAAUGGAUUUAAAUGGAUUCAAAAUUUAUAAUCCAUUUUAAUUUAUUUGAUAUUAUUCCAAUCUUAUGUCAUAAGUUAAAAUGAUUGAGAGACUCACGAAAACUUUUAAUUGUAAGUUGUAAAAUGUUGAGAAAAAGUAUUGACACUAUUGAUUAAAAUUUUAUAAUUGAAUUAUAAAA